ensembl:piRNA 21ur-4825 ncRNA
UAUUGAUGAAAAGUGAAUAUU